rnacentral:rRNA from 1 species
CGCCCGCUACAGAAACUACAAAGGAAUUAGACGGGGCCCGGCACAAGCGGAGGAGCAUGUGGUUUAAUUCGAUGAUACGCGAGGAACCUUACCUGGGCUCGAACGUAAGAUGACUGUAGGUGAAAGCUUACAUCUCUUCGGAGCAUUUUACGAGGUGCUGCAUGGUUGUCGUCAGCUCGUGCCGUGAGGUGUCGGGUUAAGUCCCAUAACGAGCGCAACCCCUACCUUUAGUUGCCAUCAGGUUAAGCUGGGGACUCUAAAGGAACUGCCUACGCAAGUAGUGAGGAAGCGGGGAUGACGUCAAAUCAGCACGGCCCUUACGUCCAGGGCUACACACGUGCUACAAUGGCCGAUACAGAGGGCAGCUACCUGGUGACAGGAUGCAAAUCUCCAAAGUCGGUCUCAGUUCGGAUCGGAGUCUGCAACCCGACUCCGUGAAGUUGGAUUCGCUAGUAAUCGCGCAUCAGCCAUGGCGCGGUGAAUACGUUCCCGGGCCUU